UACGGAGGGUGCAAGCGUUAUCCGGAUUCACUGGGUUUAAAGGGUGCGUAGGUGGGCCUGUAAGUCAGCGGUGAAAUCUCCGGGCUUAACCCGGAAACUGCCAUUGAUACUAUAGGUCUUGAAUUAUCUGGAGGUAAGCGGAAUAUGUCAUGUAGCGGUGAAAUGCUUAGAUAUGACAUAGAACACCAAUUGCGAAGGCAGCUUACUACGGAUCGAUUGACACUGAGGCACGAAAGCGUGGGGAUCAAACAGG
rnacentral:rRNA from 1 species